rnacentral:rRNA from 1 species
UACGAAGUGGGCUAGCGUUGUUCGGAAUUACUGGGCGUAAAGGGCGCGUAAGCGGUGUGUCAAGUCAGGCGUUAAAGCCCCGGGCUCAACCUGGGAACCGCGCUUGAGACUGGCACGCUCGAGUUCGGGAGAGGAUGGUGGAAUUCCCAGUGUAGAGGUGAAAUUCGUAGAUAUUGGGAAGAACACCGAUGGCGAAGGCAGCCAUCUGGACCGACACUGACGCUGAGGCGCGAAAGCGUGGGGAGCAAACAGG